CCCAUCACGGCCCCUCAUCCCUUGCCCCUUGCUCCUCGCCUCCCAUUCCCUUUCCCCCAGCCUGUACUCACCAGAUCGCCCAGGUCUUCAGGGAGGCUCUGGAGCGAGUCUGCAGGCUGGGGUUUUGGCGUACAGUCUCCAGUAUCUGAUCCCCUUCCUCCUACCUUCCGCGCGUUUGCCGAGGAACCGGCUCUGGAGGUGGGGGGCCCCUCUCCAGAACCAGUGUUUUUCUUUUUAUGCCCUCCAAGUCGCCUUUGGAUUCUUGGUUGAGCUUGGCAGGAAACUACCCCGGGGGGCCGGGUAUGCCAGCCCGGAUCCCGGGCUGGGGGGUUGGAGAGGAAGUUAGCACCUCCCCAUGGUCUCAGUCCCCUGCAGCAUCCUUGCAGGCUCGCGGGAGGACAAGCUGCCUCCCGGCUCCCAGCCCUUUCCUCUCAGCCUUGCCCAGCCUAGUCCGCUUCUGCUAUUGGGUUGCGCGCCCGCGCGAGCGAGCGAGCGCGCGCACGCGAGGGGAGACUUCCUUGCUGCAACUGCAGCAAAGAUUUCUCACCAGCAAACAACCAGGGGAAUCUGCAAAGCCCUUGAUGCGGAUGGAUGCGGUAAAGGUACUCAGAGAAGGAGAGGAGCGAGGAGGGGGACAAGGCAGCCCCGAGUUUUGACAUAAAGUAGGCAAUGGUUGUCAUUAAAGUAUGCCUGAAAAAAAUGUGGCCAAGGCUUUGAGAGAGCCCCAAAGUGAAAAGUGAGCAAUUUAAGACUUGAAGAUGGUUUAGACUUCACAGAGCAAGAGAAUUUGGUUUUCUAUUGAUUUGCAAAGACAGUCAAGUAGGGAUUAGUCACAUGUUGAACAUGAAUGAAGAUAAGCCUUUUUGAACACUGAAAAUUCAACUUACUUAAUGAGAAGUGCUGAAAGUGAAGCCAGAAAGCAACGAACCAAGUGGAUGUAAACUUUCUCAGCCCUUUUGUCUGCAUCUACUAGAUGGGGAUGUAUGGAGAAGGCACAAGCGAGCUAAUAAAGACGAUACUUUUUCUUUAGACUAAAAAAUU
rnacentral:lncRNA from 1 species